CACGCGCGAAGGCUGAUGUCGAAAACGGAAACGUUAGCGCAGAGGAGCCAGCAACGAACGAUCUCUACCUGCCCGCCGCUCGAGUCGAACUGAACAAAAAAACCGAAACUGGAAAUUUGCUGCUGGAUCGAGAUUCCCGUUCGCGUUCCCACAAAAGUGGACACAGUGCUCCCCCGAAAAGAAAACCGGUCGGGGGCUCGCUGGCCGAAUUUUAAAGCGAGACUGUGGCACAUUGUUUAUGCCACACAGUGCCUUUUUGAUUGGGGCGCAUUAUUAAUGUGUGGCAGCUGCACUUUUCCAAAUGUCAGGGCUCCAAAUGGUAGCCAACCGGAAAUGGGGGCCAUUAUAGGUCGUGACGAAAGCGUUUCCUUGGCGGCAAUUCACAAAAGCAUAUCCAUAGACGUUAGUUAGAAACAAACAUUUACUACGAAACAAGGUAACCGAAGAAUAUGAGCCUAUCUAGAAUACAUGUAGUAGUCGAUGGCCGUGGAGAAGGCGGCGAAUCCCAGGCCGCCGAUGAUGCCCGCCUUAACGCCAGCCCGCAAACCAAUCAGUCCUCCAGUGAUGCCUCCAGCGUAGGUGCCAUUCUUCCAGUCCGUGACGCCCCGAUGCUGCAAAAAUCAGAAGGAGUUCUAGUUAAUACAAACUAAUACACAACGCUUUUGAGCAGGUGGACUUACGCUCUCGAUGGUGCACUCGACGGCGGAGAACACACAGCCGAUGAGCGCGAAAUUCUUCGCGUAGGAAUGGGUGGUGGAGCGCAUUUCGCGGAAAACCUCCCUGGCCGUCUGCUUCUUCUCAUUCGCGAACGGAUCGGCCAUGUUGGGAUUAACGGAGGCGCUAAACAAACCCAAAGCUGCACCCAAGCCAUAGCCUGAAAUGGAGUAUAGAUAUAUGGUUAACAUAAAUUU
ensembl:ncRNA asRNA:CR45028 antisense RNA:CR45028